GACGAACGCUGGCGGCGUGCUUAACACAUGCAAGUCGAACGGUGAAGCGCCUUCCUUUUUGGUGGGUGUGGAUGAGUGGCGAACGGGUGAGUAACACGUGAGUAACCUGCCCCCUUCUUCUGGAUAACCGCAUGAAAGUGUGGCUAAUACGGGAUAUUCUGGGUCUGUCGCAUGAUGGGUCUGGGAAAGAUAUUGUUUCGGUGGGGGAUGGGCUCGCGGCCUAUCAGCUUGUUGGUGGGGUGAUGGCCUACCAAGGCGGUGACGGGUAGCCGGCCUGGGAGGGUGGACGGUCACACGGGGACUGAGACACGGCACAGACUCCUACGGGAGGCAGCAGUGGGGAAUAUUGCACAAUGGGCGCAAGCCUGAUGCAGCGACGCCGCGUGAGGGAUGGAGGCCUUCGGGUUGUGAACCUCUUUCGCCAGUGAAGCAGGCCUGCCUCGUUUGUGGGUGGGUUGACGGUAGCUGGAUAAGAAGCGCCGGCUAACUACGUG
rnacentral:rRNA from 1 species